ACAAAGUACUGCGUCCAAGGGUCCCUAAAAGACAGGCCUUAGCCCAGCAGAGGGGACAACUGAUUGUAGUUUUCCAGAGCAGGAAGAUUUAUUAUGCCAAGUAGCCACUGGUGGCUCAGAAGGUAAAGAAUCUGCCUGCAAUGCAGGAAAGCCGGGUUCAAUCCCUGGGUCAGGAAAAUCCCCUGGAGAAGGGAAUGGUUACCCACUCCAGUAUUCUUGCCUGGGAAAUCUCACAGACAGAGGAGCCUGGUGGGCUAAUGCCCAAGGGGUCACAAAGAGUCAGACUCAACUGAACGACUAACAUACAGCAAUUGCUGAGAUCAGCUACUCAGUGCCAUUCUCUUCUGCAGCACCUUCUUCUACUUGCUGGGUCCUGGCUACAUCUUCCCAACCUAUCUGGUUAUCAACCUCUAAGCAUCCCAGCUCCAGUCAAAACUCCUCUGCUGGGGGCUUCCCUGGUGGUCCAGUGGUAAAGAAUCCAUCACCAAUGCAGGAUACACGGGUUCGAUCCCUGGUCUGGGAAGAUCCCACAUGUCAAGGAGCAACUAAGCCUGGGCACCACAACUGCUGAGCCUGUGCUCUAGAGCCUGGGAGCUGCAACCAUUGAAACCACAUGCUGCUGAAGCCUGAGCGCCCUAGAGCCUGUGCUUCACCAGAGAAGUCGCCACAGUGAGAAACCCGCUCACUGCAACCAGAGAGUAGCCCCCACUCAUAGCAAUCAGAGAAAGCCUGCACACAGCAACAAAGACCCAGCACAGCCAAAAA